UGACUCUUUCGAUUACCGAACUCCGACCAAAAGACUGAGAUGACCAUAGAAACACUACCACGAACCACAAAAGGGAACAAAUGGCUAACGACAAACUUGAAACGGACUCGCAAAACCCUCAAAUAUUCAAUUAAAACCUAUCAUUUUGAAGCCGUUUCCUGCUGCUAGGGUUUGUGUUCUUGUGUGUGUGUGCUGGGCUCAAAAAAGAAGAAAAGCCUGAAGGGAGAUGGCUGGAGCUCUUAGGUCAGUUCCCUGCUUAUUCUCUCGGUAACGAAUAGACGACGAAGAAGAAGAAGCAAUGGCGAUGCAGAAGUUUAAAUGAGACGAUAUCAGGGGUUGUUAGUUUUUUUGCUUUUAUUUUGCGGCUGACUUAAUGAAGCAGCAGCAACAGCUCCAAAUUUUUUGGAAGAAGACGAUGAGUCGAUGGGGGUGGGUUUCUUUGAUGAAAACCGUUGAUUCCCUAUGUCUUCUACGGCUGAUUGUCGUUGAGGCAGACGAGUCGAUAGGGUGGGGGUCGUUCGUAUUCUGGCUGCUGCGGUGUGAGAGAUUUUCUGAUUGUAUGCCUUUAUUGAUGAAAAAAG
rnacentral:lncRNA from 1 species